rnacentral:lncRNA from 1 species
UGUGUGACACAACAGUGCUGAGUGUGACACAACAGUGCAAUGUGUGACACAACAGUGCUGAGUGUGACACAACAGUGCUGAGUGUGACACAACAGUGCAAUGUGUGACACAACAGUGCUGAGUGUGACACAACAGUGCUGUGUGUGACACAACAGUGCUAUGUGUGACACAACAGUGCUGAGUGUGACACAACAGUGCAAUGUGUGAC